UACGAAGGGGGCUAGCGUUGCUCGGAAUUACUGGGCGUAAAGCGUGCGUAGGCGGUUUGUUAAGUCCGUUGUGAAAGCCCUGGGCUCAACCUGGGAAUUGCAGUGGAUACUGGCGAGCUAGAGUGCGGUAGAGGAUGGUGGAAUUCCCGGUGUAGCGGUGAAAUGCGUAGAGAUCGGGAGGAACACCCGUGGCGAAGGCGGCCAUCUGGACCAGCACUGACGCUGAGGCACGAAAGCGUGGGGAGCAAACAGG
rnacentral:rRNA from 1 species